rnacentral:rRNA from 1 species
CCUACGGGUGGCAGCAGUGAGGAAUAUUGGUCAAUGGACGAGAGGCUGAACCAGCCAAGCAGCGUGAAGGAUGACUGCGCUGUGGGUCGUAGACUUCUUUUAUAAAGGAAUAAAACGACGCACGUGUGCCGUUUUGCAGGUACUUUGUGAAUAAGCAUCGGCUAACUCCGUGCCAGCAGCCGCGGUAAUACGGAGGAUCCGAGCGUUAUCCGGAUUUAUUGGGUUUAAAGGGUGCGUAGGUGGGUUGUUAAGUCGGGUGUGAAAGUUUGGGGCUCAACCCCAAAAUGGCAUUUGGUACUGGCAGUCUUGAGUACAGCUGAGGCAGGCGGAAUGCGCGGUGUAGCGGUGAAAUGCUUAGAUAUCGCGCAGAACCCCGAUUGCGAAGGCAGCGUGCCAUGCUGUGACUGACAUUGAUGCACGAAAGUGCGGGUAUCGAACAGGAUUAGAUACCCCGGUAGUC